AACAAACGCUGGCGGCGUGCCUAAUACAUGCAAGUCGAACGGGGAAAGCUUUCGGGUGAGUACUAGUGGCGCACGGGUGAGGAACGCGUGGAUAAUCUGCCUUAGAGUGGGGGAUAACUAGUCGAAAGAUUAGCUAAUACCGCAUAAGACCACGAGAGCUGCGGCUUUUGAGGUCAAAGGUUUUUCGCUCUAAGAUGAGUCCGCGUAAGAUUAGCUAGUUGGUGAGGUAACGGCUCACCAAGGCGACGAUCUUUAACUGGUCUGAGAGGAUGAUCAGUCAAAAUGGAACUGAGACACGGUGCAGACUCCUACGGGAGGCAGCAGUAGGGAAUAAUGCAGAAAGGAGGAAACUCUGAUGCAGCGACGCCGCGUGAGGGAUGAAGGCCUUCGGGUCGUAAAGCUAUGUCGCAGGGGAAUAACACAAUGAAGGUACCCUGUAAGAAAGGAUCGGCUAACUUCGUG
rnacentral:rRNA from 1 species